rnacentral:lncRNA from 1 species
UUCACCUACAAAGCUUCAACUCCAAAGCUUCACCUACAAAAGCUUCACCCACAAUAGCUUCACCUACAAAAGCUUCAUGAUGUGAGAAUUACUUGACACACAAAUUAAACCCUAUUGAUGACAAUUGUAGUAAUGAUGCAAGUAGGGAUCGUUCUAGACCGGGGAUUAACUAGGGAUGCUAAUCAACAAAUAUAAGACUCAAGAAUAUAAGAAGAAACUUAAAAACACAAAAGUAGGCUUUAAAACACUAAACUAGACUCAAAGAGUUCAAAACACUUUAAGGCACAAACUAAACAAACUUAAACACACUUCGAUACAAGAAAGUAAAUGGGAGGUAUUGGUUUGGAUGAGAUUGAGAUAACAACAAAAAGUAAAACUCAAUAGAUGGUUUAUGGAUUAGCUAGAGAUCCAUUCUUCACACAUGACACACUUGUACAUGAAUUGAUUUCCAAUUGCUUUUCAAUAGAUUAUGAAACUCAACACCCCAGAUUAACCGUGAUGCACUAAUUAAUCCUCAGAUUUUCCUUGAUUUAUUGAAUUGGAUGAAUGCAUACGACAAUCCAAAUUAUUCUCCAAAAGUCCUCUACAUGAAUGCAUAAUAGAGAUACAAUCAAAGAUCAUUACGUUCUAUGAAAAUCAUAAGUGUUAACGAGGCAUUCGUAACUAUGAAUGCAUGAUACGUUUGCCAAGAAUUCAAUUAACGCAAUUGUGACUAGCAACCUUCACUACCAAUGAAUAUAAACUUGUAACGAUUAGGUGAAAACUCAUUUAUAUCCUAGCAUCAAAUUCAUGCAUGAAAACUAAGUAUGCAUCCUUAAUCAACAUACAAGAAUUAGUUUUGAAGAAAGUAGUUAAUUGAAUUGCAUUCACAACUUAUUAAAUCACAAUUGGAAGAAAUCAAUUCAUAUCUCAAACAUGUUCAUGGCUUCGAACUUCACCCUAGCUAAGUAAGGGUUUAGUUCCUCAUACUUGCAAUUAAACAAAAACAAUUGAUAUUAAACAUAGAGAAACAAAGUAGAAGACACCUAGAAUGCUCCAACAACUCCAAUGGAAUGGCUAGCACAACUCCAAGCACUCCUCCUUCUUUGCAAGCCUUGGAACUAAUGGAAAUGUGUAUGAAUGGCUGUGUGUCUUCCUUGAAGGCUGAAUGGUGUUUAUAUAGAGGUUGAAAAUGUCAAGCAAUGCAAGGUAAUGGACAAGGCACUCACGGCAAUGGAAGGAUGUGAAGCUGCCAGCUCCAUUUUGCAUGUGUGUGUGCUGUUUUUGUGCUCUUUCCACCUAGAAACAAUCAUUCCAAAGCCACCCAAAGUUAUAAGUGGAAGACCAACCAGAAAUCCACCUCAUAGUGGUCCAAUUUCUGCCAUUCCUUGCUGUCCAUUCACUACCAAUGUUGUAGAAAUCUGCCAACUCCAUUCCAUUGCCGUGUGUGUGUGUGUGUGUGCUGUCCUCAUCACUUCCCACUCCUCCAUGCUUUAAUUUCUGAUUCCUUGCUGCCUAUGUGGUGUGUUCCUUGCUGUUUUCUUUCCUUCUUGCUGCCCAUGUGGUGUUUAUACUUGCACAUACAUGUUCUUCAUCCAUUUAGCUAGCAAUAAACACAUUUUCUGCCAUCACAUGGCAUCUAUGAUGUUUGAAAUUGUAGGCCAACACUUUGCACACACACAUGCAGAUUUCUAGCCCUUUGAAUCAUCAAAUUCGUCCAUCCUCAUGUCUCCAUGUUUGCACCAUCCAAUCUUGGCCCAAAAAUGCUCCAAAAUGCAUCUUCUUGCAUCCUUGGCCCAUAGAACCUAUAAACACACGAAAAUGGCUUAAACUACUAACAUAACUAAGAACUAAGAACAUAAAUGCACGAAAACAAACAUACUAAGUCGCAUAAAUAUGCUCCUAUCA